GGCUCAGGACGAACGCUGGCGGCGUGCCUAACACAUGCAAGUCGAACGGAGUUGAGGAGCUUGCUCCUUAACUUAGUGGCGGACGGGUGAGUAACGCGUGAGUAACCUGCCUCUGAGAGGGGAAUAACGUUCUGAAAAGAACGCUAAUACCGCAUGACACAUAUUUGCCGCAUGACAGAUAUGUCAAAGAUUUUAUCGCUCAGAGAUGGACUCGCGUCCGAUUAGUUAGUUGGUGAGGUAACGGCUCACCAAGACCGCGAUCGGUAGCCGGACUGAGAGGUUGAACGGCCACAUUGGGACUGAGACACGGCCCAGACUCCUACGGGAGGCAGCAGUGGGGGAUAUUGCGCAAUGGGGGCAACCCUGAACCGCAGCAACGCCGCGUGAAGGAUGAAGGUUUUCGGAUUGUAAACUUCUUUUCUCAGGGACGAAAUCUGACGGUACCUGAGGAAUAAGCUCCGGCUAACUACGUGCCAGCAGCGGC
rnacentral:rRNA from 1 species